GAUGAACGCUAGCGGCAGGCCUAACACAUGCAAGUCGAGGGGCAGCACAGAAACAGCAAUGUUUUGGUGGCGACCGGCGGACGGGUGCGUAACGCGUAUGCAACCUACCUUUAACAGGGGGAUAACGGAGAGAAAUUUCCACUAAUACCCCAUAACAUCGAUCAAGGCAUCUUGAUUGGUUGAAAACUCCGGUGGUUAAAGAUGGGCAUGCGUUGUAUUAGGUAGUUGGUGAGGUAAUGGCUCACCAAGCCUACGAUACAUAGGGGGACUGAGAGGUUAGCCCGCCACACUGGUACUGAGGCACGGACCAGACUCCUACGGGAGGCAGCAGUGAUGAAUAUUGGUCAAUGGGGGCAACCCUGAACCAGCCAUGCCGCGUGCAGGAAGACGGCUCUAUGAGUUGUAAACUGCUUUUAAACAGGGAUAAAGCACAGUAUGUAUACUGUGUUGAAGGUACUGUAAGAAUAAGGAUCGGCUAACUCCGUGCCAGCCGCCGCGGUAA
rnacentral:rRNA from 1 species